GGUUAGUCCGCAACGAGCGCAACCCCUAUUGUUAGUUGCCAUCAUUCAGUUGGGCACUCUAGCGAGACUGCCGGUAAUAAACCGGAGGAAGGUGGGGAUGACGUCAAAUCAUCAUGCCCCUUAUGACCUGGGCUACACACGUGCUAUAAUGGUUGGUACAACGAGUUGCGAGUCGGUGACGGCGAGCUAAUCUCUUAAAGCUAAUCUCAGUUCGGAUUGUAGACUGCAACUCGCCUACAUGAAGUCGGAAUCGCUAGUAAUCGCGGAUCAGCACGCCGCGGUGAAUACGUUCCCGGGCCUU
rnacentral:rRNA from 1 species